rnacentral:rRNA from 1 species
AGCAGUCGCCGCGGUAAUACGGAGGGUGCAAGCGUUAAUCGGAAUUACUGGGCGUAAAGCGCACGCAGGCGGUCUGUCAAGUCAGAUGUGAAAUCCCCGGGCUCAACCUGGGAACUGCAUUUGAAACUGGCAGGCUAGAGUCUUGUAGAGGGGGGUAGAAUUCCAGGUGUAGCGGUGAAAUGCGUAGAGAUCUGGAGGAAUACCGGUGGCGAAGGCGGCCCCCUGGACAAAGACUGACGCUGAGGCACGAAAGCGUGGGGAGCAAACAGGAUUAGAUACCCCAGUAGUCCCUGUCUCUUAUAC